ACCAUUUCUGUUUUAUGCUUGUGUUAGCAUAGUGUGACAAUUUGUGUCACACCUUUGGAUGAUCAACUUGUUCCAUUUAAUUUCCAUGCCAAUUGAUCUUUGAUGCUUCUGAUUUUUUGUAUGUUGAUCAUGUUGGAUAUGUUGAAUGCUCAUGAAUUUUUCCAGAAUUGUUUGAAUCAUUUCUGUUUUGUUUUGGAAUUUUC
rnacentral:lncRNA from 1 species